rnacentral:misc_RNA from 1 species
GCCAGAAAUUUUUUCUAAAUUCAAUAUAUUAUGAAUUUAAAACAGAAGAUUUACAUAUAAAACGAGUAAAGUACACACAUUUAUUUAAAUUUUCCUUAUUUGCAACAGAAACUUAUCGAUAUACUGGCCUUUUGAUCUGGGUAGCAACCCACUUUCAAAUCCAAUUUAGUUUUGAGUGCAACUCGCAAAAUGACAAGAUAGUAAGAAACAAAACUCUAUUCUUUCUUUAUCCUCCGACUAAAUUCAUCAACAAUACAACAAUGCGCAUUAGGCUAGUCGAGGAGCCAUGUUACAAUUAUAACUAUCAAGGGUUAAGGGUAUAGUCAGUAGGGAAAACCAAUAUUCUAGGCUCGGAUUAAGGUCAAGAAAUAUUCUUCCUCUUUUCUCACACGUCUUCACUAUUAACUGUUUUCCUCGUCGCCAUGAGACUGAACAACCGAAGAGUGGUUGCUUUGUUCGAGGUUUGCUACUGCAUCUGGUCCAUACAACCUUGUCAAUUCUUCCUUAAUAGAAUCAUUUUCAGAUUUAAGUUUCUCGCAUUCUUCAGAUACCCUCCGCAGUUCCUCUCUAAGACUGCGACUGUCAUUAGUCAAAUUCUCUACCCUAGCUUGUAGCUCUUCACACUCUGCCUGCCAAGGAUGAUUAAUGAAAGAAAAAGAUUUAACAACUUAUAAAAAGAUGAGCUGGUCAAUAUCUUGUAAACUUCUAAAGAAAACACUUCCCCAAACUUUCAGUUGCUUGGGUUUUCUGUUGCAGACUAGAGGUUAAAUGGUGCAUUGAAGAGAACAAUGGGAGGUUGGAAGUAACAAACAGAGAAUUCCGAUUGGUUGUGUUGUUGGUGAGAGUAGCGUCUGUUAUGGAUGAGCAGGAACUGCUAUUGUAAUCUGUUACAUUUCUGUUUUUCUGCUGUACAUUUGGUUAUAAAUACUUGUACAUCACAACUGUAAACCAUUGAAUGAGAUAAUGACAGUUUCUUCUCUUUGAUUUCUUCCCUGUGCUUCUUCCCUUUCUCUAUUUCUGUUCUUCUAAACUUCUGGUUCGUCCCACUUUCUAACCUAAAAGCAUAAGAGAAAGAAUUCCUACCAAUUUUUAGCAUUACAAUAUAUUCUCCUCUUAGUUCUUAGGAAAAGUCAGAAUACACUGAACUCAAACAAGUUUUCACUUGGACCUUCAACCAGAAGAGUAUAGCCAACCUAGAUGUCCACAUCUCCACAUAUAACCAUUAACCAACGAUAUCUAGCCCAGUUAUUAUCAACAUAUUAUGCCAAGUGUCCUAACGAAGAUAGAUAAGCUUGAACAGAAUUAAGCUCCUUUUGCCCCUCUGGUGCCUGCUUCCGUAAUCUUGAUCUUCUGGCUGACUCCCUGUUAGAUUGCUUCCUCUUCUGUCUUUUCAGUUCACGCUCGUCUUGUAUCCAUUGUUCAGGCAUUAUUGCAGGAACUAUUGCUGAUGAGGCACCAGAUGCAUUGGUUCUCAUUUUUGCAGCUCCAGGAGCAGCAGCAGCAGAUGCAUUCCAUAAGUCCAUUCCAAUAUUUAGAUUAGUUGCAGGCAUAGAUACGGCAGGUUUCCCUGGCACUGAUGCCCCUGCCGUGUUAUUUUGCGCAUUGGCAUCUGCAAGCAUCUGAUUGAAACUUCCCAUCUUAUUUGCAGCAAAUUCCUGUUGAUUCUCAUCACUUGCAUCUGAGGUGCCAUCGCUACCACUUUCAGCACUAUUUACAAGAAAAGCAUUUCAUUAUCAUGCAAAAAUUCAUUUUAUGGAAAAGUAGACAAGUAAACAAUGAGACAGGAGACACAUCUAAGCAAAGCAUUUCAAACUAAAAAUUUAGCGAUUAACUUUGCUUUGGCCAACCUUUGAGAGGCGCCAUCAUUUCCAGAACCUGAAGUUGCCUUUGCACUCUCUCCUGCCUUUCCUGCUGAUGUUCCUUUGGAUUUUUGGGCUGAAGCCCGAUCCUUUCCAUCAGCGGUCUUGCCUUCUAACUCUGUAUUUGUUUGUGCUGAAUUUGGUGUCUACGGAAGAGAUGAAAAGCAAACUAAUUGGAUGACCAAAUUAACACUGACAAAUUAUAUUAAGACAGGAAAUAGUACUGGAAUGCUACAGUUCUUGACAGAACAUGAAAAAUGCAAACACACUCAAAAGCUAUACACAUCAACUACAUGAGAAAUCAUUCAAUAUUACCAUGGUCAUAUUAGGAUGGGCAUACACUCCCCCAGCAGGAUAUAAAGCUGGGUAUGGAACUGGGGUGCCAUAGGGUGGAAUUAGAGGAUGCUGGCUGCCCCAGAUAUAUGGAUGAGGAGUUGGAGAUGGUACAGUUGAUGCAAAAAAAGGAGGUGGAGAAGCUCCAGCACCAUAAUAAGCCUGCAUAGAGUUUGACCAAUCAGGAUAUGAGGGUGUUGUUGGUAUUUCCUGAGUCGAUGGUGCUGGUUUGGAAGGCCGAGCUGGUGUGCUCUCUUCCCCAGUCCCCAUUCAAUCAACUCAGUAAGUACCAAUAGUUUCAACACUUACAAUUGGCUUAUAAAUGGCUUAUUGUCUACCACAGGAGAGGAGAUAUCUAUGAAGCGCCUGCAGACAUCAUAAAAUGUAACCAUGUGUGUUAGAAAUCAAAUAAUUCUACCAUUAAAAUUUCUCAUUACUAUCAUUGUUGUGCAACAGUGAGAACAUAUAAAACACUGCCUCCAUAUUGAUAAGUAAUCUUAAAAAAAUCUUCCACAUGAAGCUGGGUCAUUGAGCUCAUUCAUAACAAGUGAAACAUGCAAAAACAACCGCAAAUGACAAAGAAUGAACCAUACAAUAUAAAGCUUAAAUUGUUAUCAGCAUAAAUUGCACGCUGUAAUAUCACUUUUUCUUGUGGAUGGUAACUUUUCGAUCAAUAUUACAGCAAUCCCUAAUAUUAUUUUGUUUACUGCCAAAUCCUUUAGAAGAAAGAUUAGAGAUGAAGCUCUUUAAAGAUUCAGCAGCAAAGUAAACAGCACAAGAAAAAUCACUUCAAAUAAAUAUUCCAACUUAUUCCCAGUUUUCUAGCAAAGUUAUAUGCAUUUUUCAAGCAAAGCAAAAGACCAUAAAUGAUUCUGCUCUUUGGCUAAGUUGCCUGACAUGAUUUAUAUGUUGAAAGAUGUCAAUACUCCCUUCAUACUUGCUAGUGAUCCCAAACAUCUAAGCUUAAAUUACAAGCCUUUCUUAGUUAUUUUUGGCUCAUAAUAUCAUCCAAUUUGACUAGCCAAACUAGAAUGAUGCAAUGAAAAAUUCAAGGGAAAGGGCAAUAAAGCAAACAGCUUCAUAACAUAAUUUUCUCAAAAUCUCUGCAUUCAAAUACAAUUAAAGACGAACCUAGGUGAUCUAUUCAGUACUACUGAUGCUCUGAAUUUGCUAUUCAGAGGACUGAGCAUUGAUUCAUCUCAAUCCCAGUGGCUGGGUGGACUCCAGACUCCCAGGGUACAAAAAAGGGACACAUUAUAAUUUUUGAAGAUGGGGAAAUAUUGGUUCUUGUCACAAGUACUAGCUAACAUUGAUGAAGAUUGAGGGACAAAUAAAACCCUAGCAUCCUCAUCAUGAAUUCAGAAGUAACCCAUCUUUUUCAUGACCUAUCAAUAAUUUUGACAUGACAAAAAUCCAAACCUAGCAAAUUUUCAUAGAUUAUACUUGCACAAAUACCACAAAUCCAUUACGGCUACUACAUGGACAAAUUACAGCAAGUUGGCAUUGUGCCCUACACUCUAAUUUGAGUAAAAUGAACCCAUCAUAGAUAGGUCAUCAUCACACAGACUAAAAGCACGCAUAGCAACAGUAACCAAUAACAAACAUUUCUUUGACCGUUUAUUUAUAACAAGGGAAUAUAAGCUAGUACCAACUUUAAGAAAGAUUCAUCACUCAUUUUUUAAGCUAAAAAAAUCAACGUCAACAUGCCUUUCUAUACAUCCUCAAAUUGACAAUUGAAAUGCAGAUUUUCAACAGCUAAAAUAAAAUUCCAAACAUUCACACAUAAGUAAAGCUAUGCUUAGAUAAGUACAGAAGUGAAUUUCCAAUUCCCCACAACAAUCUGAAAACUCAAAACAAAACCAGACCCAAUUGAGAAAGAGAAAGAAAAACAUGAAUUACUAAUAGAAAAUUUUAUGAUAAGCAAGAACAAAAUUAAGCUCACCUAACUGAUUACACAGCAUAGAAUUACAGAUCCAGAACCAACAUAAAUAAAAUUAGAAGAAAAAAAGCAAACAAGCUAAACAGGGGCACCCAAAAGAUAGAUAAACAUGCAGAAAACAGUGUAAAAUAAGGGGUUGUGUGUGCGACUAUGUG